rnacentral:rRNA from 1 species
GGGCUACACACGUGCUACAAUGGCGACUACAGUGGGCAGCCACCUCGCGAGAGGGAGCUAAUCUCCAAAAGUCGUCUCAGUUCGGAUCGUUCUCUGCAACUCGAGAGCGUGAAGGCGGAAUCGCUAGUAAUCGCGGAUCAGCAUGCCGCGGUGAAU